GCCAGACUCCUACGGGAGGCAGCAGUGAGGAAUAUUGGUCAAUGGUCGGGAGACUGAACCAGCCAAGCCGCGUGAGGGAGGAAGGUACAGAGUAUCGUAAACCUCUUUUGUCAGGGAACAAAGGCGGGGACGUGUCCCCGGAUGAGUGUACCUGAAGAAAAAGCAUCGGCUAACUCCGUGCCAGCAGCCGCGGUAAUACGGAGGAUGCGAGCGUUAUCCGGAUUUAUUGGGUUUAAAGGGUGCGCAGGCGGUCUGUUAAGUCAGCGGUCAAAGCCCGGGGCUCAACCUCGCUCCGCCGUUGAAACUGGCGUUCUUGAGUGGGCGAGAAGUAUGCGGAAUGCGUGGUGUAGCGGUGAAAUGCAUAGAUAUCACGCAGAACUCCGAUUGCGAAGGCAGCAUACCGGCGCCCAACUGACGCUGAAGCACGAAAGCGUGGGUAUCGAACAGGAUUAGAUACCCGGGUACU
rnacentral:rRNA from 1 species